GACGAACGCUGGCGGCGUGCUUAACACAUGCAAGUCGAACGGAAAGGCCCUGCUUUUGUGGGGUGCUCGAGUGGCGAACGGGUGAGUAACACGUGAGUAACCUGCCCUUGACUUUGGGAUAACUUCAGGAAACUGGGGCUAAUACCGGAUAGGAGCUCCUGCUGCAUGGUGGGGGUUGGAAAGUUUCGGCGGUUGGGGAUGGACGCGCGGCUUAUCAGCUUGUUGGUGGGGUAGUGGCUUACCAAGGCUUUGACGGGUAGCCGGCCUGAGAGGGUGACCGGCCACAUUGGGACUGAGAUACGCCGCAGACUCCAAUGGGAGGCAGCAGUGGGGAAUAUUGCACAAUGGGCGGAAGCCUGAUGCAGAAACGCCGCGUGCGGGAUGACGGCCUUCGGGUUGUAAACCGCUUUCGCCUGUGACGAAGCGUGAGUGACGGUAAUGGGUAAAGAAGCACCGGCUAACUACGUG
rnacentral:rRNA from 1 species